AGGAUGAACGCUGGCGGCGUGCCUAAUACAUGCAAGUCGAGCGGUAAGGCCCCUUCGGGGGUACACGAGCGGCGGACGGCUGAGUAACACGUAGGAACGUACCCCAAAGUGAGGGAUAAGCACCAGAAAUGGUGUCUAAUACCGCAUGUGGCCUUCGGGCUAAAGCUUUAUGCGCUUUGGGAGCGGCCUGCGCAUGAUUAGCUUGUUGGUGAGGUAAUAGCUCACCAAGGCGAUGAUCAUUAGCUGGUCUGAGAGGAUGAUCAGCCAGACUGGGACUGAGACACGGCCCAGACUCCUACGGGAGGCAGCAGUAGGGAAUUUUCCACAAUGGGCGAAAGCCUGAUGGAGCAACGCGCGUGCAGGAUGAAGGCCCUUGGUCGUAAACUGCUUUUAUAUGUGAAGAUUAUGACGUAGCAUAUGAAAUAAGGAUACGGCUAACGUCCGUAGCCUAGCAGCCGCGGUAAA
rnacentral:rRNA from 1 species